rnacentral:rRNA from 1 species
UGGGGAAUAUUGCACAAUGGGGGAAACCCUGAUGCAGCGACGCCGCGUGAGCGAAGAAGGUUUUCGAAUCGUAAAGCUCUGUCCUAUGAGAAGAUAAUGACGGUAUCAUAGGAGGAAGCCCCGGCUAACUACGUGCCAGCAGCCGCGGUAAUACGUAGGUGGCGAGCGUUAUCCGGAUUUACUGGGUGUAAAGGGCGUGCAGGCGGGCUGAUAAGUCAGAUGUGAAAUCCCCGAGCUUAACUCGGGAACUGCAUCUGAUACUGUUGGUCUUGAGUGCUGGAGAGGAUAGUGGAAUUCCUAGUGUAGCGGUAAAAUGCGCAGAUAUUAGGAGGAACACCAGUGGCGAAGGCGGCUAUCUGGACAGUAACUGACGCUGAGGCGCGAAAGCGUGGGUAGCAAACAGG